rnacentral:SRP_RNA from 1 species
CAGAGCAAGUCCUAUACGACCAGCUCCCUCUGAACUCCCCCAGGUCUUGACCGAAGCAAGGGUAGGAGGUUGUAGCGGUGCGAUGUAGUCAGCUUGCUCU